rnacentral:rRNA from 1 species
GACGAACGUGGCGGCGUGCUUAACACAUGCAAGUCGAACGAUGAAGCCUAGCUUGCUAGGUGGAUUAGUGGCGAACGGGUGAGUAAUACGUGAGUGACCUACCUUUGACUCUGGGAUAAGCCUGGGAAACUGGGUCUAAUACCGGAUACGACCAAUCUCCGCAUGGGGUGUUGGUGGAAAGCGUUAUGGAGUGGUUUUAGAUGGGCUCACGGCCUAUCAGCUUGUUGGUGAGGUAAUGGCUUACCAAGGCGACGACGGGUAGCCGGCCUGAGAGGGUGACCGGCCACACUGGGACUGAGACACGGCCCAGACUCCUACGGGAGGCAGCAGUGGGGAAUAUUGCACAAUGGGCGCAAGCCUGAUGCAGCGACGCCGCGUGAGGGAUGACGGCCUUUCGGGUUGUAAACCUCUGUUAGCAUCGAAGAAGCGAAAGUGACGGUAGGUGCAGAGAA